rnacentral:lncRNA from 1 species
ACAUCUCAAGCCCAAGAGACAGCAAGCAAAAAGAAUUGUUUCUGAAGAAAUAAAGUUGUUUACAUAAAUGUCUUCAUACAGUACUUUUAAAAAGAAGUUUACCUCUUUAGGCUUUGCAAAAAAAUAGAAGGAGCAUGUCUCAAGACCAGAUGUGACAAUUUUACUUUGGUUUUAUUUGUCUUACUCACAUUUCCAAAUGAUGAUUGAAUCUCCUAGAGCCUCUUAGUUCUAGCCUUGGACACUUCGAAGAUCAUGGCUAAAACCUACACAUGGCAUAGGCCUUUCUUUUAAAAUAGGAAAACAGUCUGAAACUAGAAGAUCAACCCUUGAGGAGAUGUAAAGUUGCCUCUGAAAUCUGAAAGAGCGUGAUCCCCUAUCUGUGCAGAACAGAGUUAAAGAAACAAAACAGUUAUGACUAAUUAUUAUUAUGAUUAUGCACAUUCAAAAUGCCAAAGAUAAAAACUACAUAAUUUCAAACACUUUUUCUGUUUCAGAGUUUUGCUGAAAGUUCCUUAGGCAUUUGUGUCUAUGAGCAAUUCCAAAAUUCUAUGUUGCAACAUAAUAAGCUCAGAAUUUUGUAUAUGGCAGGGGUGUUAGGAAAGAUUUGAUCUGAACUCCUCAUUGUGCCGAUAAAGAAACUAAGGAAGAUUUUCCCAGGUCCAAAAGCCUGUUUUCCCUUCAUUUCAACGCAACGGGAACAAAUGAGAGUGUGGUAAUGGAGCCAGAAGGGGGCGCAUGAUGAUCGCUGAUGACGAAUUUUGACGGUGCAAUCUGGAUGUUAAUUUCGCUGACCUUGAAGUCAGGGUGGCCUACUUGCAGCAUUGUUCUAUAUAACUUCAGCCUCAAAUUGAAAACCAUACAUAUUUCGUGGUAGGCAUCUUGCUUUUAGAAAUUUGAUGUAGGGAGGGACAACUCCAUGGAUUUCUAAAGCAAGGUUUGUUUUACAGGCCCAAUUUCUUCCUUUCCCAAGCCAACUAAUCAAACAUGCUUUUGAAUGUAUUUGCUGGAUUCCAAAAUAUUUCAGACACUUAUUUAUAAAGGAAUGAUUUUAAAAUAGGAUCCAAUUUUUGUUCUAUAAAUGUUUAAACUGAAUAUUUCCUAAGACCAUCGGCUUGUUUUCAAUGAGUUUUUUUGCAAAGGGAAUGUUUAAAGUGUUUUUAAAACCUCAGAGUUAAAUCAUUUUCAAAACUUGUUUC